rnacentral:lncRNA from 1 species
AUUUUGAAGUCAUGAAUUCUGAAAAGUUUGAUUUAGUUUUUUUAACAUUUCAAAAAUGGAUUUUUCUGUGAAUAUAUCAAAUGACAAUGGUUGUGUGAAAAAGUUAAAUAAAAGAAAAAGAAAGAAAAAGGGAAAUAAGAAAAAAUUUGAAAUGGAUGACGACAAUUCAACCCACAAAGAAUUAAAUGAUGAAAUUAAUGAAAUACAACAAGAUGGUGGUGAUAAAAUGGCAAAAAAAAAGAGCAAA